CUGGGGUCGUCUUCCAUGCGGUAGAAGCUUUGUUCUUUUGCUGUUUGCAAUAAAUCUUGUUGCUGGUCACUGUUUGGGUCCGCACUGCCUUUGUGAGCUGUAACGCUCACCACGAAGGUCUGCGGGUUCACUGCUGAGGCCAGUGAGAGCCCGAGCCCACCAGGAGGAAUGAACAACUCCGGAUGGGAGAAACGAACAACUCCAGAUCCGCCGACUUAAGAGCUGCAACACUCACCGCCAAGCUAUGCAGCUUGACUCCUGAAGCCAGCGAGACCACGAACCCAUCAGAAGAAAAACUGUGAACACACCCGAGGAAUAAACUCCGGACACACCAUCUUUAAGAAUUGUAACACUCACCACGAGGGUCCACGGCUUCAUUCUUGAGCAAGCUACCACUGUUUAGAGAGAGUCUCCUGUUGUCUUCGUCCUGAGGCUUCUUCCAUCUGCACGGAGGUUCCGAAGCGUUUAUGACAUAUCAAUCCCUCUACCAUCAGGCACACAUUUCACUGUUUUGGGAGAAGGCCUUUGGACUGAAGCUGGAAUCACUGCUGCUCCGUGGGUGCUUGUCAUGGCUCCUGUGGAUGGGAACCCGCUAGGCUUCUAGGCUCUGCAUGGGUUUGUCUUUUUGAAUAAAUUGAGCA
rnacentral:lncRNA from 10 species